GACCCGAACAUGGGUAAUCUAUCCAAGACUAGGAUGAAGCUUAGGUGAAAUUAAGUUGAGGUCUGAACCGAUUGAUAUUGAAGGAUUGGUAGGUGAGUUGUGGUUAAGGGUGAAAUGCCAUUCAAAUUUAGAGCUAGUUAG
rfam:Gossypium arboreum cultivar AKA8401 contig_18055_3, whole genome shotgun sequence.